CCUGUGUUGCCGUCUUCUCGUUGGUAGAAGAAACGUGUUUUGUGCAGAAUUUUCAGUUCUUCAUUUUCGAUUUCGGUUCAGAAUUUUGUUUGUAAACACGCGUGUGGCGAAAUAAAAUUAGCCAAAUAUAGUUGAAAAAAUUGCUUUCGUGUUUUGCCCUGCACAACACAUCGUACAACAACAUCGGCAGGGAAAA